AAAAUAUUUAAAGCGAAUAAGGGCGCAUGGUGGAUGCCUAGGAUCUAAGAGGCGACGAAGGACGUGGUAAGCUGCGAUAAGCUACGGGGAGCUGCAAACGAGCAUUACAUCCGUAGAUUUCCGAAUGGGACAACCCGGUACACUGAAGGUGUAUCACUCGAAAGAGAGCCAACGCAGGGAACUGAAACAUCUAAGUACCUGCAGGAAAAGAAAAUAAAAAUGAUUCCCCAAGUAGUGGCGAGCGAACAGGGAAGAGCCCAAACCGGGUCGAAGCAAUUCUACCCGGGGUUGUAGGACUACUUUUAGAAAGUCAGAUCAAGCUGAAUCAUCUGGAAAGAUGAGCCGUAGCAGGUGAUAGCCCUGUAGGCGCAAAUUCUGACGGACGUGUAGUAUCCUGAGUAGCGCGGGACCAGAGGAAUCCUGUGUGAAACUGUCAGUACCAUCUGAUAAGGCUAAAUACUCCUUAGAUACCGAUAGUGAACCAGUACCGUAAGGGAAAGGUGAAAAGUACUCCGAACAGGAGAGUGAAAUAGUUCCUGAAACCGUGCGCUUACAAGCGGUCGGAGCCAGUAAUGGUGACGGCGUGCCUUUUGCAUAAUGAGCCUACGAGUUACUCCUCACUGGCAAGGUUAAGGUCUUCAGUACCGGAGCCGCAGCGAAAGCGAGUUCUAACAGAGCGCUUAGUCAGUGGGGGUAGACGCGAAACUUUGUGAUCUAUCCAUGGGCAGGAUGAAGGUUAGGUAAAACUAACUG
rnacentral:rRNA from 1 species